rnacentral:tRNA from 1 species
GUCCCCGUAGCUCAAUGGACAGAGCGGUAGCCUCCUAAGCUACUGAUAUGGGUUCGAUUCCCAUCGGGGACA